rnacentral:rRNA from 1 species
GACAGAGGGUGCAAACGUUGCUCGGAAUUACUGGGCGUAAAGGGCGUGUAGGCGGGAAGGCAAGUCGGGCGUGAAAUCCCCAGGCUCAACCUGGGAACUGCACUCGAAACUGCCUUUCUUGAGUGUCGGAGAGGAAAGCGGAAUUCCUGGUGUAGAGGUGAAAUUCGUAGAUAUCAGGAGGAACACCAGUGGCGAAGGCGGCUUUCUGGACGAUAACUGACGCUGAGGCGCGAAAGCGUGGGGAGCAAACAGG